rnacentral:rRNA from 1 species
CGAAGACAACUAGGAUGUUGGCUCAGAAGCAGCCAUACAUUCAAAGAGUGCGUAACAGCUCACUAGUCGAGAGUUCCUGCGCCGAAAAUGUCCGGGGCUGAAACACGACACCGAAGCCGUGGACUCGCAAUGCGAGUGGUAGAGGAGCAUUCUUAAAACCGACGAAGCUGUACCGGAAGGAGCAGUGGAGGGAUAAGAAGAGAGAAUGCCGGAAUGAGUAGCGAGAGGAAGGUGGGAAUCCUUCCGGCCGAAUAUCUAAGGUUUCCAGAGUAAAGCUGAUCUGCUCUGGGUAAGUCGGGGCCUAAGCACAGGUCGCAAGACGUAAGCGAUGGAUAACAGGUUUAGAUUCCUGUACCACGCAUUAUCAGAACUGUAGGGACGCAUGUGGAAAGCACGAGCCGGGAAUGGAAAGACCGGUACAAGCGAGGUAGGUGUACAAUAGGCAAAUCCGUUGUAUGAUCCGAAGACGUGAUGUGGAGCGAAAUAAAGUAGUGAAGCGUGUGAGCCAUGUGCCGAGAAAAGCUGCUAUUGUGUAAUGCGUGCCCGUACCGUAAACCGACACAGGUGGAUGAGGAGAGAAUCCUAAGGCCGACGGAAGAAGCAUUGUUAAGGAACUCGGCAAAAUGACCCCGUAACUUCGGGAGAAGGGGUGCCCACGGGAGUGGGCCGCAGAGAAUAGGCUCAAGCAACUGUUUAGCAAAAACACAGGUCUAUGCGAAACCGAAAGGUGAAGUAUAUGGGCUGACGCCUGCCCGGUGCUGGAAGGUUAAGAGGAGAGGUUAGCGCAAGCGAAGCUUUGAAUUUAAGCCCCAGUAAACGGCGGCCGUAACUAUAACGGUCCUAAGGUAGCGAAAUUCCUUGUCGGGUAAGUUCCGACCCGCACGAAAGGCGUAAUGAUUUGAGCACUGUCUCGACAAUGCAUCCGGUGAAAUUGAAGUACCAGUGAAGAUGCUGGUUACCCGCGCCAGGACGGAAAGACCCCAUGGAGCUUUACUCCAGUUUGAUACUGGGAUUCGGUACUGCAUGUACAGGAUAGGUGGGAGACGAAGAAGGAUGGACGCCAGUCUGUCCGGAGUCGCUGUUGGGAUACCACCCCUGUAGUACUGGGUUUCUAACCAGUUGCCAUGAACUGGCAAUGGGACAAUGUCAGGCGGGGAGUUUGACUGGGGCGGUCGCCUCCGAAAGGGUAUCGGAGGCGCUCAAAGGUUCCCUCAGAAUGGUUGGAAACCAUUUGAAGAGUGCAAAGGCAGAAGGGAGCUUGACUGCGACACCGACGGGUGGAGCAGGU